rnacentral:rRNA from 1 species
GACGUAGGGGGCCAGCGUUGUUCGGAAUUACUGGGUGUAAAGGGUUCGUAGGCGGUGCGGCAAGUUGGGAGUGAAAUCUCUGGGCUUAACCCAGAGGCUGCUUCCAAAACUGCUGUGCUUGAGUGUGGGAGAGGCGCGUGGAAUUGCAGGUGUAGCGGUGAAAUGCGUAGAUAUCGGGAGGAACACCUAUGGCGAAGGCAGCUCGCUGGGACGUUACUGACGCUGAGACGCGAAAGCGUGGGGAGCAAACGGG